UACCUGCACCCCGAGUGGUCGGGACGUUUAUUGGGCCUAAAGCAUCCGUAGCCGGUUCUACAAGUCUUCCGUUAAAUCCACCUGCUUAACAGAUGGGCUGCGGAAGAUACUAUGGAGCUAGGAGGCGGGAGAGGCAAGCGGUACUCGAUGGGUAGGGGUAAAAUCCGUUGAUCCAUUGAAGACCACCAGUGGCGAAGGCGGCUUGCCAGAACGCGCUCGACGGUGAGGGAUGAAAGCUGGGGGAGCAAACAGG
rnacentral:rRNA from 1 species